UACGUAGGGGGCAAGCGUUGUCCGGAUUUAUUGGGCGUAAAAGGCUUGUAGGUGGCCACGCCAAGUCGGAUGUGAAAUCUCCCGGCUCAACUGGGAGGGGUCAUUCGAUACUGGCGGGCUCGAGGCCGGUAGGGGGAAGUGGAAUUCCCGGUGUAGUGGUGGAAUGCGUAGAUAUCGGGAGGAACACCAGUGGCGAAGGCGGCUUCCUGGACCGGUACUGACGCUGAGGAGCGAAAGCGUGGGGAGCGAACAGG
rnacentral:rRNA from 1 species